UACAUGGGGUGCAAACGUUGCUCGGAAUUAUUGGGCGUAAAGCGCGCGUAGGCGGUUACUUAAGUCGGAUGUGAAAGCCCUCGGCUUAACUGAGGAAGUGCACCCGAAACUGAGUAGCUAGAGUACGAAAGAGGGUCGCGGAAUUCCCGGUGUAGAGGUGAAAUUCGUAGAUAUCGGGGGGAACACCGGUGGCGAAGGCGGCGACCUGGGUCGAGACUGACGCUGAGGCGCGAAAGCGUGGGUAGCAAACAGG
rnacentral:rRNA from 1 species